CCUACGGGAGGCAGCAGUGAGGGAUAUUGGUCAAUGGACGCAAGUCUGAACCAGCGAUGCCGCGUGCAGGAAGACGGCUCUAUGCGUUGUAAACUGCGUUUGUACGGGGGUAAACGCAGAUACGCGUAUCUGUCUCAAAGUAUCGUACGAAUAAGGAUCGGCUAACUCCGUGCCAGCAGCCGCGGUAAUACGGAGGAUCCGAGCGUUAUCCGGAUUCAUUGGGUUUAAAGGGUGCGUAGGUUGUUUUAUAAGUUAGCGGUGAAAUACCGAUGCUCAACACCGGGGCUGCCGUUGAUACUGUAGGACUAGAGAGCAGAUGGAGCAGGCGGAAUGUGUGGUGUAGCGGUGAAAUGCAUAGAUAUUA
rnacentral:rRNA from 1 species